rnacentral:rRNA from 1 species
GGGAGGUAGGUGACAAUAAAUAACAAUACGGGGUUCUUUCGGAUCUCGUAAUUGGAAUGAGUACAAUUUAAAUCUCUUAACGAGGAACAAUUGGAGGGCAAGUCUGGUGCCAGCAGCCGCGGUAAUUCCAGCUCCAAUAGCGUAUAUUAAAGUUGUUGCAGUUAAAAAGCUCGUAGUUGAAUUUCGGGGUCAGCAGGUUGGUCGUGCCAAUGGUAUGAACUGGCCUUGCUGAUUCCUCCCUCUUGAUGAGCCGUAAUGCCAUUAAUUUGGUGUUGCGGGGAAUCAGGACUGUUACUUUGAAAAAAUUAGAGUGUUUAAAGCAGGCAAGCGCUUGAAUACAUUAGCAUGGAAUAAUGAAAUAGGACGUUUGAUCCUAUUUUGUUGGUUUCUAGGAUUGACGUAAUGAUUAAUAGGGAUAGUUGGG